AGCAUUGGGUGCGGCGGCUCGGCCGGUGUGCGACAGUGGUGUACAGGAGGGAGGGAAGGGCACUGCAGGCAAGGUGACAGGGCAAGCGGUGUGACGCGAGCAUGUGUGGAACUCGUGGCGCUGCCGGGGUACGCAACUGGCGAGGCGGGGGAAGGAGUUGUCACUCCCUACGCGGUGGUUGGCGAAGAUGGCAACAUCGCGAGGUGCGCGCACGGCAACGCGACUGAGGGGUGACGAGAAUGUCGUUGUCAAGAUUUGCGGAUCGAGACUUAGACUAGUAAAUUUCUUUUAUGCGCGUAAGGCUUCCGAUGGUGGCGUGGGAGACACGGGGUUAGACUGGUUCGGGCAAAGGAAGGCCCUACGUCCAGUAUCGGGAGAUGCUCGUGUUACCCACGCGGGGCUCUGUAGUAGGGGUUAC
rnacentral:lncRNA from 1 species